rnacentral:rRNA from 1 species
UACAGAGGUCCCAAGCGUUGUUCGGAUUUACUGGGCGUAAAGGGUGCGUAGGCGGUCGGGUAAGUCUCAUGUGAAAUCUCCAAGCUCAACUUGGAAAUGGCAUGGGAUACUAUUCGGCUAGAGGAUUGGAGGGGGGACUGGAAUUCCCGGUGUAGCAGUGAAAUGCGCAGAUAUUCGGAGGAACACCAGUAGCGAAGGCGGCUCGCUGGGCCACACCUGACGCUGAGACGCGAAAGCGUGGGGAGCGAACAGG